AACGCUAGCUACAGGCUUAACACAUGCAAGUCGAGGGGCAGCAUGGUCUUAGCUUGCUAAGGCCGAUGGCGACCGGCGCACGGGUGAGUAACACGUAUCCAACCUGCCGUCUACUCUUGGACAGCCUUCUGAAAGGAAGAUUAAUACAAGAUGGCAUCAUGAGUCCGCAUGUUCACAUGAUUAAAGGUAUUCCGGUAGACGAUGGGGAUGCGUUCCAUUAGAUAGUAGGCGGGGUAACGGCCCACCUAGUCUUCGAUGGAUAGGGGUUCUGAGAGGAAGGUCCCCCACAUUGGAACUGAGACACGGUCCAAACUCCUACGGGAGGCAGCAGUGAGGAAUAUUGGUCAAUGGGCGAGAGCCUGAACCAGCCAAGUAGCGUGAAGGAUGACUGCCCUAUGGGUUGUAAACUUCUUUUAUAAAGGAAUAAAGUCGGGUAUGGAUACCCGUUUGCAUGUACUUUAUGAAUAAGGAUCGGCUAACUCCGUGCCAGCAGCCGCGGUAAUACGGAGGAUCCGAGCGUUAUCCGGAUUUAUUGGGUUUAAAGGGAGCGUAGAUGGAUGUUUAAGUCAGUUGUGAAAGUUUGCGGCUCAACCGCAAAAUUGCAGUUGAUACUGGAUAUCUUGAGUGCAGUUGAGGCAGGCGGAAUUCGUGGUGUAGCGGUGAAAUGCUUAGAUAUCACGAAGAACUCCGAUUGCGAAGGCAGCCUGCUAAGCUGCAACUGACAUUGAGGCUCGAAAGUGUGGGUAUCAAACAGGAUUAGAUACCCUGGUAGUCCACACGGUAAACGAUGAAUACUCGCUGUUUGCGAUAUACGGCAAGCGGCCAAGCGAAAGCGUUAAGUAUUCCACCUGGGGAGUACGCCGGCAACGGUGAAACUCAAAGGAAUUGACGGGGGCCCGCACAAGCGGAGGAACAUGUGGUUUAAUUCGAUGAUACGCGAGGAACCUUACCCGGGCUUAAAUUGCAGAUGAAUUACGGUGAAAGCCGUAAGCCGCAAGGCAUCUGUGAAGGUGCUGCAUGGUUGUCGUCAGCUCGUGCCGUGAGGUGUCGGCUUAAGUGCCAUAACGAGCGCAACCCUUGUUGUCAGUUACUAACAGGUUCCGCUGAGGACUCUGACAAGACUGCCAUCGUAAGAUGUGAGGAAGGUGGGGAUGACGUCAAAUCAGCACGGCCCUUACGUCCGGGGCUACACACGUGUUACAAUGGGGGGUACAGAGGGCCGCUACCACGCGAGUGGAUGCCAAUCCCCAAAACCUCUCUCAGUUCGGACUGGAGUCUGCAACCCGACUCCACGAAGCUGGAUUCGCUAGUAAUCGCGCAUCAGCCACGGCGCGGUGAAUACGUUCCCGGGCCUUGUACACACCGCCCGUCAAGCCAUGGGAGCCGGGGGUACCUGAAGUGCGUAACCGCGAGGAGCGCCCUAGGGUAAAACUGGUGACUGGG
rnacentral:rRNA from 1 species